rnacentral:lncRNA from 1 species
GAGAGUAAAACGAAUCAAUCCUGCAUAGGAUAGGUAGCAUUUAGCUUUGAACCUUCCCUCGUGAAAAUCUAUCGAGUAUUACCAGCAAACCAGUGGAUCUGAUACCUUGAACUGUUUCGCCAUUUGUGUAAAUCAAGACAAUAGACCUCACACAGGACCAUUCUAGACACAGCAUAGUUCUCAAUGUUGUGUUCGUUUUGGCCAUGAACACGUCGCCUGGUUCUGCAAGUGUUUGUUCAAGGAUGUAGCCUUCCC